UUUAAAGGACGAAUUGUUAAACUCCUACGUCGUUAACGAUCCUAAUUGCAUAGGGGACGUCGUGCAUGGUAACGUUGCUGCGAAUGCGGCGGCCACGUUUGCCUAUACCAGAAACUAAGUCUUCCUUGUAUUUCAACCAUCUGAAAAACACAGAAUUGUGAUCAACGCAUCAGGAUACUUGGAGUCCAUGAACAGUUUCACACGUUCCCAGAUAUUGGCUCGGUUAUGUUCGUUCAGGAAGUAUCGAGGAAUCAAAAAGCACCGUACAUGCGUCGUGGAUACUAUUCUUCUGUUGUGCAUGUUCUCUCCUAAAUUUAAAGCGCGUCGUCGGUACAGUUACUAAAACGGUGACGAAAGGAUAACAUUGUUGCGAUACAGAAGACGGUUCUCUCAUCAGCAUCUCCGCCACGUCGGUGACUUUAUGCCAUUGGUUUAUCUUUUGAUUCAAGGGAAAAGGAGUGGUAACUGGUUAAUAACUGCCUCAUUAAAUAGCGAUAGGAAAAAUAAACUGCAGUUGGAAAUGAAAGAACUAGAUUCUUAUGAACCUCUAGGCAAGAUAAUCUUUUGGAUCGUACAAUUCAUAAUGUACUUUAUCUGCAGAGAAUUGUUCGCGAACAACGAUGUGUUCUAUCAGGCGACACUCGCCAUC